CUGGUAGUCCACGCCGUAAACGAUGUCGACUUGGAGGUUGUGCCCUUGAGGCGUGGCUUCCGGAGCUAACGCGUUAAGUCGACCGCCUGGGGAGUACGGCCGCAAGGUUAAAACUCAAAUGAAUUGACGGGGGCCCGCACAAGCGGUGGAGCAUGUGGUUUAAUUCGAUGCAACGCGAAGAACCUUACCUGGUCUUGACAUCCACAGAAUUCUGCAGAGAUGCGGAAGUGCCUUCGGGAACUGUGAGACAGGUGCUGCAUGGCUGUCGUCAGCUCGUGUUGUGAAAUGUUGGGUUAAGUCCCGCAACGAGCGCAACCCUUAUCCUUUGUUGCCAGCGGUCCGGCCGGGAACUCAAAGGAGACUGCCAGUGAUAAACUGGAGGAAGGUGGGGAUGACGUCAAGUCAUCAUGGCCCUUACGACCAGGGCUACACACGUGCUACAAUGGCGCAUACAAAGAGAAGCGACCCCGCGAGGGCAAGCGGACCUCAUAAAGUGCGUCGUAGUCCGGAUUGGAGUCUGCAACUCGACUCCAUGAAGUCGGAAUCGCUAGUAAUCGUGGAUCAGAAUGCCACGGUGAAUACGUUCCCGGGCCUU
rnacentral:rRNA from 1 species